rnacentral:rRNA from 1 species
UACAGAGGGUGCGAGCGUUAAUCGGAAUUACUGGGCGUAAAGCGUGCGCAGGCGGUUGUGCAAGACCGAUGUGAAAUCCCCGGGCUCAACCUGGGAAUGGCAUUGGUGACUGCACGGCUAGAGUGUGUCAGAGGGGGGUAGAAUUCCACGUGUAGCAGUGAAAUGCGUAGAGAUGUGGAGGAAUACCGAUGGCGAAGGCAGCCCCCUGGGAUAACACUGACGCUCAUGCACGAAAGCGUGGGGAGCAAACAGG